GCCAGGUCCCUCCAUACCUGAUCUCAAUUAACUCACUCACCAGGAGCCAGGUCCCUCCAUACCUGACCUCAAUUAACUCACUCACCAGGAGCCAGGUCCCUCCAUACCUCACUCACCAGCAGCCAGGUCCCUCCACACCUCAUCUCAAUUAACUCACUCACCAGGAGCCAGGUCCCUCCACACCGGGUCUCAAUUCACUCAC